GACGAACGCUGGCGGCGUGCUUAACACAUGCAAGUCGAACGGAAAGACCCGGCGUUUGUGGGGUGCUCGAGUGGCGAAGGGGGGAGAAACACGUGAGGAAACUGCCCUUGACUUUGGGAGAACUUCAGGAAAAUGGGGCUAAUAUAGGAGAGGAGCUCCUGCUGCAUGGGGGGGGAUGGAAAGAUUCGGCGGUUGGGGAUGGAUUCGCGGCUUAUGAGCUUGUUGGUGGGGUAGGGGUGUACCAAGGCUUUGACGGGUAGCCGGCCUGAGAGCGUGAACGGCCUCCUUGGGACUGAGAUACGCAGCAGACUCGUAUGGGCGGCAGUAGUGGGGAAUCUUGCACAGUGGGCGCACGCCUGAUGCAGCAACGCCGCGUUCGUGAUGACCGCCUUCGGGUUGUAAACCGCUUUCGACUUUGCCGUAGCCUGAGUGACGGUACUGGGUCAAGAAGCACCGGCUAACUACGUG
rnacentral:rRNA from 1 species